AGACUGGGACUUCACAAAAGAGCAGGGACACACAGGAGCCUCCUCAGUUCGACAGGCUGCCACUGUUUGUUCAGGCUUCGCAUGGCGUCAGUCGGCUGAGCUGCUGCAGCCGUCAGUGAAGCGGAGGGUGAACGUGGGUGCUGGUGCUGCGUCUGGAUCCCUGCUGGGUGCUGAUCACAUCCCCGAGGACCCGUCAACUUCCAACUGAAGGUCGAGAAGCUCCAGCAGCAGAAAUGAUCAUCAGACUGGGCAGACUGACGCCAGGUUACUUCCGUCUCCUCCAGCGGCAGGUUUCUGGUGAGGUCCGCAUGCAGCCGCAGGGCAGCUUCAUUGACCCCAUCGCCGUGAUGAUGGCCUCAGUCGGGACGGGACUGUGUCUGUACAGCUCCAGACAGAUGGCAGAGCGGGUCCAACUCAAACAGCCCAACGCCUGAUGAUCAAUAACAAGCCCCCUGUCAGAGCUGCUCUGUGGGCGGUUUGACCGAGUGUCUGUUUGUGAAAGUCGGAGAAGGUUCGUGAUGGAGGAGUUUGAAAGAAUGAGUGUGUUUGUGUCGUCGCUGGAGGGAGAAGAAGAAAGUGUGAGUCAAAGUUAAACAGGAAGAUUUCACCAUGUUUUUCUUGUAAUCACGUUCAUUACUUUCUUAGUUCAUUAAUUUAAUGAAUUAAUGUCUAAAUUAAUGUCGUAAUCACAACAUGAACAAGCAAAUAUAAAGGAACCUGUAGUUUAAACACUGUGCAUAUUUUGUAUUUUGCACAUUUUAACUGUGGCUCUAUUUUAAUGCAAUAAAUGAGCAUUUCACUCGUCAACAAUCUUCUCAGCGUCAAAGUUAUAGACUUGUUAAUAUUUGCUGCAUUUUAUAGUGCAACAAAACACACAAAAUAAUAAAUUUAACAAAAAUAACAAAAGAAAAACGUUAACGUUAACGAUAAGUUAAUUACAGGAGAUGUUCUCUCAGAAAUGUUGUUUAUUAAAAUUAGUCACUUAAUUUCCUGCAGAAUAUUUCUGUUCAGUUAGAGGGUUGUUCUGCUGUCGCACCUUUUGAUGCUGUGAGUAUUUAUUAUGUGCUACACAAACUGUGAAGAAGCUCUUCUCAUCAGGAAUCUUCAGUUAACUAAAAUAUAACUUUAAUUCAAUGUUUUUACUGAUGUUUCUACUGAUGUAAAAUUUAAAUGUCACUUAAAACAAAUUAAAUUGUCAUUUUAUGUAAUUCUCUAAUAAAUUAUGUUCAAAAUCA